UCCAUCCUAGCACCCAUCUUCAGUGUUCAGAGAGCAUUACAGAUGGAGAGGGUUAUACGGAUAAUACAUGAGAAUCCAAAGGAGUUACUCUAUACCUACCAUGUGUGGCUAUCCGUUCUUCAUUAAACCAAAUCCUCUCUCCAAAAACAGCUUCUCCUAAGAUUUUACUGGACCAUCAAGGAUUCCCUGCACAAAGGCAAAGGGUCUAUAUAAUCAGUAAAGGACCUGGCUUGUCUCUAGAUUCCUUCCAUGAGGCCAUUUCAAGUCACCCAGUGGGGCACCUGGAUGGCUCAGUCAGUUAAGCGCCUGACUCCUGAUCUCUGCUCAGGUCAUGAUCUCCCGGUUCAUGAUUCAAGCCCUGCAUUGGACUCUGCGCUGACAGUGUGGAGCCUGCUUGGGAUUUUCUCUCUCUCCCUCACUCUCUGCCCCUCCCCUGCUCGCACUCCCUCUUUCAAAAUAAACUUUAAAAAUAAAGAAAUAAAAUAAAUUCACCUCGCUUA